rnacentral:rRNA from 1 species
UACGGCUCAGUAACACGUCGAUAAUCUGCCCUUAGGUCAAAGAUAACUUUGGGAAACUGAAGGUAAUAUUUGAUAGAGAAAAAUAACUGGAAUGUUUUUUUCUUUAAAAGCAAUGCCUAAGGAUGAGUCGGCGGCUGAUUAGGUUGUUGGUGAGGUAAAGGCUCACCAAGCCGAAGAUCAGUAGGGGGGAUGAGAGUCCGAGCCCCGAGAAGGGCACUGAGAUACUGGCCCUAGCCCUAAGGGGUGCAGCAGGCGCGAAAACUUUACAAUGGGCGAAAGCCUGAUAAGGGAAUCCUAAGUGCUUAUCUUUUAGAUAGGCUUUUAUCAAGUGUAAGAAGCUUGAGGAAUAAGUGGUGGGUAAGACCGGUGCCAGCCGCCGCGGUAACCCCGGCGCCACAAGUGGUGAUCACGUUUAUUGGGUCUAAAGCGUCCGUAGCAGGCUUAUUAAAUCUUUUGUGAAAUUGUUUAGCUCAACUAAACAACGUGCAAGAGAAACUGAUAAGCUAGAGACCGGGAGGAGAUAGGAGUACUCUAGAGGGAGCGGUAAAAUGUGAUAAUCUUUAGAGGACUACCAGUGGCGUAGGCGCCUAUCUAGAACGGGUCUGACUGUGAGGGACGAAAGCUAGGGGAGCAAAAGGGAUUAGAUACCCCAGUAGUCCUAGCUGUAAACACUGCGAGCUAUAUGUUGCAUAUUCUUCGUGAAUAUGCAGUGUCUAAAUGAAGAUGUUAAGCUCGCCACCUGGGAAGUACGGCCGC